rnacentral:rRNA from 1 species
AUUGAACGCUGGCGGCAUGCUUUACACAUGCAAGUCGAACGGCAGCGCGGGCUUCGGCCUGGCGGCGAGUGGCGAACGGGUGAGUAAUGCAUCGGAACGUGCCCAGUAGUGGGGGAUAGCCCAGCGAAAGCCGGAUUAAUACCGCAUACGACCUGAGGGUGAAAGCGGGGGACCGAAAGGCCUCGCGCUAUUGGAGCGGCCGAUGUCGGAUUAGCUAGUUGGUGGGGUAAAGGCUUACCAAGGCGACGAUCCGUAGCUGGUCUGAGAGGACGACCAGCCACACUGGGACUGAGACACGGCCCAGACUCCUACGGGAGGCAGCAGUGGGGAAUUUUGGACAAUGGGGGCAACCCUGAUCCAGCCAUGCCGCGUGCGGGAGGAAGGCCUUCGGGUUGUAAACCGCUUUUGUUCGGGAAGAAAUCCUCUGGGCUAAUACCCCGGGGGGAUGACGGUACCGGAAGAAUAAGCACCGGCUAACUACGG